rnacentral:rRNA from 1 species
UACGAAGGGGGCUAGCGUUGUUCGGAAUUACUGGGCGUAAAGCGCGCGCAGGCGGCUAUCCAAGUCAGUGGCGAAAGCCCGGAGCUCAACUCCGGAACUGCCAUUGAAACUGUUUAGCUUGAGGACGAGAGAGGUGAGUGGAAUUCCCAGUGUAGAGGUGAAAUUCGUAGAUAUUGGGAAGAACACCGGUGGCGAAGGCGGCUCACUGGCUCGUUUCUGACGCUCAGGCGCGAUAGCGUGGGGAUCAAACAGG